rnacentral:rRNA from 1 species
GACGAACGCUGGCGGCGUGCUUAACACAUGCAAGUCGAACGGAAAGGCCCUGCUUUUGUGGGGUGCUCGAGUGGCGAACGGGUGAGUAACACGUGAGUAACCUGCCCUUGACUUUGGGAUAACUUCAGGAAACUGGGGCUAAUACCGGAUAGGAGCUCCUGCUGCAUGGUGGGGGUUGGAAAGUUUCGGCGGUUGGGGAUGGACUCGCGGCUUAUCAGCUUGUUGGUGGGGUAGUGGCUUACCAAGGCUUUGACGGGUAGCCGGCCUGAGAGGGUGACCGGCCACAUUGGGACUGAGAUACGGACCAGACUCCUACGGGAGGCAGCAGUGGGGAAUAUUGCACAAUGAGCGGAAGCCUGAUGCAGCAACGCCGCGUGCGGGAUGACGGCCUUCGGGUUGUAAACCGCUUUCGCCUGUGGCGAAGCGUGAGUGACGGUAAUGGGUAAAGAAGCACCGGCUAACUACGUG